CUCACCUCCACCCAUGGCCACCCAGGCCCACAGACGAUACUCCACCCCCAGCCCCACUCUGCUUCCUCUUGUCUCUCAUGCUGCUGAGUCCCCACCCCACCCCAGUCACCAUCCCUUGCCCUGGGACUCCAUUCUUUGUUAAGAUCUCCUCCCUUUCUGGGCCUCAGUUGCCUCAUCUGUAAAAUGGGAAUAACAAUGCCUUUCUAUGCCCAUCAUCCUGGAGCUGGAGAAGCAAUGCCAGGACUCAGAGGGUAGACCUCAGUCUCCUCAAGUCUCAGAAUUCUUCAUUGGACCAUGGGGGUCAUCUUAACUCCAGAGGAGUUGUCAGUAGUUGUGGCCGAUUUUGUGGGUGAUGUUAAAGGAAACAAGACUCCCAGGCAUCCCAAUAUAUAUACACACCCAGCCAUCUCCCAAGGAAGCUGGUAUAUCAAGUAGUCAAGAGGUAGAAUCCUCCAAGCCCAGGUGCAGGAGAAGGUUGAGUCCUAAAUAUGAGGGGUGCUCUGUCCCAAGCAUACAGCUGAGGAGGUCUGAGCCAGGCCCUAGUCCUCUAGCCCAGGCUCUGGCAAUACAGGUGGCUUCCAGCUCUUAGAGACCUUACCCCCUACUCCCAGCAACAUGGGGCCUGACUGAACAGUUGUCCAAGUUUCCCUGACUGGAAAGCAAAAGAGGUUACUCCCUACUCCACAUCCCUGCCCACUUCUCCCGAUCAGCCUUCCACAGGGGGCCCCCUCUCCUCCCCUCUCUUUACUUCCCUCUCCUGCUCCAUAGCACUCUGGAAAACUUUCUUUGAUUAACCUCUCCCAGCCAAGAGCAUUCAAAGAGGCUGUAUAGUGCAGUGGUUGAAAGCACCAGCUUUGGGGCCAGAAAAGCCCCAAAUCACAGCUCUGCCCUUUGGCUGGGUGAUCUUGGGCUCUUCAUUUAAUGUCUCUGAGCCUUAUUUCCUCAUCCUCAUCUGGCAAAUGAAGCCAUAAAUGCCUGGGUCUAGGAUUGUGUGACGAUCACAUGAAGUCAUGAAUGCAAAGUGACUGGCAUAGAGGAGAUGCUCAGCAAAUGCCAGCUGCCAUCUCCCCCCAACCCCAUGCUACAUCUAACUGUGUCUCAGUUUUCUGCUGCACUUAGAGGAUAAGGAUGAGAGCUGAGGGUGGGGAGAGAAGGAAGAGCAGCAGCAGUAGCAGCUUCAGGAGGCUCCUGAUCACUUAGAAGAGAUGAAGGCUGAGCUACAGUAGGAGAGACUCAGGUUAACCCUGAGAGGGACUUCCCAUACUGAGACCCUGGAGGAAGCCACAUUUCAAAGGCCCCGCGUAAGUUCAGUCUGUUCCCAGGACCAUAUCCUUAUCCUAGAGGCAGCUCCGAGGAGGCAGCAGCUGCCCUGUCUGGGGAGCAGUGGGGGAGGUGAAGAGUUCACUGGGCUCCGGGGCUGUGGGCUGCAGGCCUCCCACCCAGCCCUGGUGCCCUGGCCUGGCCCACUGUGGCCACAUAAAAGGUGACGGAUGGUUAAUAGGGGAGAUAACAGGAUUCAUAAGGGAAAUUUAUCGGUCACUCUGGUGGUAUAAAUAUGUUUAUAGCGGACCAAGGGGAAAUGAAGAAGCCCCAAUAAAUCACCAUGAAGCCACCAGCCACUAAUAGGCAAGCAGCAGUGGGAACCCCAGUGUUGGCGAUUGCAGACACCCCCUCUGGCUGCCCGCUAAUGGCAUGGCGGGGCUGGAGACUCAUCAAGCUGGACAGACGCCCACCCCACGCCAUGGCAGGAACAAGACCCCAGGGGCCACCUCUGCUGGACCUGAGCUGCCCUGCCUGCUGUGCAGCCCCCACUUCCCCCAGUCUGGACUCAGCCAGGCUGGAAGGGCUGAGGGAACAGGGCAGGGGGUAUAUGGACCAGGUCUAGGAGGCUUCAUGGUGCACAGGUUAAAGAGACUCUGGAGUAAGAACUGGCUUCAAAACUUUAUCUGCCAUUUCCCAAUCCCUGCCUGUCUUAGAAUUUCCUUGUUUGCAAAAUGACUUAGCAAUCUUAGAAAGAAGCUGUUGUGAAGAGUAGAGAGAUAAUCCAUUAUCAUAGUGCUUGGUAUUUUGUAGCCUCAAAAAUGGCACCUCAGCCUCCUGAGUAGCUGGGACCACAGGCAUGAACCACCACGCCCAGCUAGUUUUUUUUAUAGAGACAAAGUCUGUUGCUCCUGAGCUCAAAAGUGCCAGGAUUACAGGCGUGAGGCACCUCCCCUGGCCAGCAACAUUUCAUAGAUGAGGAACCUGAGGCUCAGAAGUUGAGGCUUGCCUGGGAUCCCACAGCUAGAAGAGAAAGGCUCUGUUUGAUUCCCAAGAUGAGAAUCUUCUCACUGCCCCAGUGUAGGCCCCAUUCCUUCCUCAAAGUCACUGGGGGUUCCCUGAACCUCUUCCCCCAGAAGAGACCUAGGAUUUCAGGGGCCGUGAAGCAUUCAAAUCAAAGCCCCGGGGCUCUUGCGGUGACUUGCUGGUGCUGAUGACAACUCUCCAUCUACCCCUUCCCUCCCUGCCCCUGCUACUUCCUGUACCCGUCUCCCCAAGCAAGGGCUGGACUCAGCUUCUGUGACCUCACCCCAGUACUGUGGUUGCCUAAAGCCUUCCAUCUGAUCUGUAUGGGAGGCCCAUAUCUGGGCUCACCAGCCCUGCCAUCUUUGUCACAGCCUCUGUCCAGGCCAAUGUGUCCUCCAGCUCAGCUUACUCCUUCAUUCAUUUUUUCAGGAAACAUUCAAGGACCUUCUUCCAAGGGCACAAUACUGAGCAACAUGGACAAGGUCUGGCCCUAUGCUGGACAGACGUGAUCUUCAGCCCCAAGUUACAGACGCUUAGAGAAGCUGGAGACUUGCACAAUGUCUCAGAGGAAAGAGAGCCAGAACCUGGACCCGUGUUGUACCCCAACCAAACCCUCCAUGGUGGAAGGAAUAGGAGUGGGAAGGGGAGGAGGAGACAUAUGGUCCAGGAGGUUCCAUAUGUACCCACACAUGGACCUCAAAGAGGCCCCCACAGCAAGACAGCAAAUGACAUCCACAGUCACAGAUCACGGAGUGAUUUCAGAUGAAGAUGGUGCUGGCAGUUUCCCCAUCAGCGCAAUGGAGUUUGAGCAAAGGAUCUCACUGGAGAAGUCGCAGCGACAGUGGAUCUAAGAGCAGAGGGCAAGGGCUGCCUGAGCCUUGUGAAGCUCAAUUCUGCCCCCUGGUGCCCAGAAUGCCGCGCCAGCAAUGGGAUGCAGGAAGAAGAGGCAGGAGACACCUGAGGUCUCUUACCUUUUCCAAGCUACUCAGACCUCCCUCUUACAGGGCAGGGAACACAGGGCACCAGCCCUACUAACCCAAUCUGAGGGGAAACUCUGAGGCUCCCUCUCCUGCAGAGAUCUCAGACUCUGUGGUAGAGUUGGUGUGGGGGGACACGUGACGUCAGCAAUAGCCCUGUCCAUCCAGCACCUGGACACCCCGAGUGGUUCCUUCUAUGGGAGGCAGAGGCAGGGCUGCCCCCUCUGCUGUGCAAUUCCUGGGGUCUUCAUCUGAGUUAAAUUCUUUUAAGUCAGGAUUUUUCUGGCUGAAAUUUCACAUUUGUGUUCAGUGGGAGUACUCAAAAAAUGUAGCAUGCAUGGAUGAAUUCCAUCCCUUUGCAUUGUCUUCAGAAGAUCUGUCCUAUGAAGCACAGGGAAAAGUGAGUUCGUUAAUUUGCAUAGUUGGCGGAAGUAGGGCUACAAAGAGGAAUGGGAUGGGGGAAGGGAGAGAUUUGAUGGGAGGAGGAUCUCAAGAGAGUUCAGAUGAAGGGAAAAUAAUGGGGGGGGUAUGUUGGAGGGAUCAAGAAAGGCUUUCUGGAGGAAG
rnacentral:lncRNA from 1 species